GACGUAGGUGGCGAACGUUAUCCGGAAUUAUUGGGCGUAAAGGGUGCGUAGGCGGCAUGAUAAGUUAUUGGCGGCAAAUCGAGGCUCAACCUCGUGGAAACUGAUAAUACUGUCUUGCUUGAGUGCAGAAGAGGUUAACGGAACUCCAUGUGGAGCGGUAAAAUGUGUAGAUAUAUGGAAGAACAUCAAUAACGGCGAAGGCAGUUAACUAUUCUGUUACUGACGUUGAGGCACGAAAGCGCUGGGGAGCAAAAAGG
rnacentral:rRNA from 1 species